AUUGAACGCUGGCGGCAGGCUUAAUACAUGCAAGUCGAGCGGGGUGAUGGUGCUUGCACUAUCACUUAGCGGCGGACGGGUGAGUAAUGCUUAGGAAUCUGCCUAUUAGUGGGGGGCAACAUCUCGAAAGGGAUGCUAAUACCGCAUACGUCCUACGGGAGAAAGCAGGGGAUCACUUGUGACCUUGCGCUAAUAGAUGAGCCUAAGUCGGAUUAGCGAUGUGGUGGGGUAAAGGCCUACCAAGGCGACGAUCUGUAGCGGGUCUGAGAGGAUGAUCCGCCACCCUGGGACUGAGAAACGGCGCAGAAUCCUACGGGAGGCAGAAGUGGGGAAUAUUGGAGAAUGGGGGGAAACCUGAUCCAGCCAUGCCGCGUGUGUGAAGAAGGCCUUAUGGUUGUAAAGCACUUUAAGCGAGGAGGAGGCUCUUUUGGUUAAUACCCAAGAUGAGUGGACGUUACUCGCAGAAUAAGCACCGGCUAACUCUGUGCCAGCAGCCGCAGUAA
rnacentral:rRNA from 1 species